AAAUUGAAGAGUUUGAUCAUGGCUCAGAUUGAACGCUGGCGGCAGGCCUAACACAUGCAAGUCGAACGGUAACAGGAAGCAGCUUGCUGCUUUGCUGACGAGUGGCGGACGGGUGAGUAAUGUCUGGGAAACUGCCUGAUGGAGGGGGAUAACUACUGGAAACGGUGGCUAAUACCGCAUAACGUCGCAAGACCAAAGAGGGGGACCUUCGGGCCUCUUGCCAUCAGAUGUGCCCAGAUGGGAUUAGCUUGUUGGUGAGGUAACGGCUCACCAAGGCGACGAUCCCUAGCUGGUCUGAGAGGAUGACCAGCCACACUGGAACUGAGACACGGUCCAGACUCCUACGGGAGGCAGCAGUGGGGAAUAUUGCACAAUGGGCGCAAGCCUGAUGCAGCCAUGCCGCGUGUAUGAAGAAGGCCUUCGGGUUGUAAAGUACUUUCAGCGGGGAGGAAGGUGUUGUGGUUAAUAACCACAGCAAUUGACGUUACCCGCAGAAGAAGCACCGGCUAACUCCGUGCCAGCAGCCGCGGUAAUACGGAGGGUGCAAGCGUUAAUCGGAAUUACUGGGCGUAAAGCGCACGCAGGC
rnacentral:rRNA from 2 species